UUUGUUUGGAGAGUUUGAUCCUGGCUCAGGACGAACGCUGGCGGCGUGCUUAACACAUCCAAGUCGAACGGAAAGGCCCCUUCGGGGGUACUCGCGUGGCGAACGGGUGAGUAACACGUGGGUAAUCUGCCCUGCACUUCGGGAUAAGCCUGGGAAACUGGGUCUAAUACCGGAUAGGACCACUUGGCGCAUGCCUUGUGGUGGAAAGCUUUUGCGGUGUGGGAUGGGGCCCGCG
rnacentral:rRNA from 1 species